UGGGGAAUUUUGGACAAUGGGGGAAACCCUGAUCCAGCCAUCCCGCGUGUGCGAUGAAGGCCUUCGGGUUGUAAAGCACUUUUGGCAGGAAAGAAACGUCGCGGGUUAAUACCCCGCGAAACUGACGGUACCUGCAGAAUAAGCACCGGCUAACUACGUGCCAGCAGCCGCGGUAAUACGUAGGGUGCAAGCGUUAAUCGGAAUUACUGGGCGUAAAGCGUGCGCAGGCGGUUCGGAAAGAAAGAUGUGAAAUCCCAGAGCUUAACUUUGGAACUGCAUUUUUAACUACCGGGCUAGAGUGUGUCAGAGGGAGGUGGAAUUCCGCGUGUAGCAGUGAAAUGCGUAGAUAUGCGGAGGAACACCGAUGGCGAAGGCAGCCUCCUGGGAUAACACUGACGCUCAUGCACGAAAGCGUGGGGAGCAAACAGGAUUAGAUACCCUGGUAGUCCACGCCCUAAACGAUGUCAACUAGCUGUUGGGGCCUUCGGGCCUUGGUAGCGCAGCUAACGCGUGAAGUUGACCGCCUGGGGAGUACGGUCGCAAGAUUAAAACUUAAAUGAAUUGACGGGGUCAUAGCUGUUUCCCU
rnacentral:rRNA from 1 species